GACGUAGGAUGCGAGCGUUAUUCGGAAUUAUUGGGCGUAAAGCGUGCGUAGGCGGCUGUUUAAGUCUGGGGUUAAAGCUAGGGGCUCAACCCCUGUGGUGCAUCGGAUACUGGGCAGCUUGAGUGCGGUAGGGGAAGGUGGAAUUCCGAGUGUAGCGGUGAAAUGCGUAGAUAUUCGGAAGAACACCGGUGGCGAAGGCGACCUUCUGGGCCGCAACUGACGCUGAGGCACGAAAGCCUGGGGAGCGAACGGG
rnacentral:rRNA from 1 species